GCGCACGGUAGCUGAGUGGGUAAAACGCUUAUAGCUAUUUACUCGACAUCGAAGGUUGAUGGUUUGAUUCCAUCCUGGAGCA